CUGACUCAAAUUUGUAAGGAGUUGGAACAGUGUCUCUACGUUUGCCGCUAGGGGCGCUGUUCCAACUCCAUACAAAUUUGAGUCA
rfam:Bombyx mori DNA, contig: Bm_scaf21_contig15092, strain: p50T/Dazao, build 2, whole genome shotgun sequence.